rnacentral:tRNA from 1 species
CAAAAGAUAGUUUAUUUGAAAAUUCCGGUUUUGGGGAUUGGAGAGAGAGGUUCGAGUCCUUUUCUUUUGA